ACAAAUUUCUGGCGGUUAACUCAUGCUGGUUAUUUUGCGCAUAUAUUAUAGCGCCUGGAUGUGGCAGCGGCGGGUCGAAAACCAGCCACAGCCAAUAAUUCAUUGACAGUUAAUUUAUAAACAAGCAAAUUGUGCUCAGUGACAAUAAAAAUCAACAUAUUUAUUGAGUAUAGUUGCGAUUCGAUAUGCACAAUGCCACCCCUGAUUUUACCGCGUGCAAUGAGCACGUUUGUGGCCUUCCACGAAGUCGAAUUUCGUUUUUGCUAUUCUUUCUUUUAAAGUCUGUCGUAGUUUAUGUGAUUCACAACAUUUUCUUCUCUGCACACUUGACACAGUAUUGGGCCACGCCGGGAGAUUAGGAGUGUUGCUGCUGGAAGCACUGCCUCAUAUACGGAGGAGCCGCAUCAGCCCUGAUAGAAGGAAACGUCAUCUAUACUGUUUGAAAACCUAUCGGUGAGGGAGCGAAGUAUAGGUAUCCGAUUGUCAAAACAACAUUGUAACGUGGCGAGUGAAUGAUUGGCAGAAAUCUUUAAAGUAAUUAUUAUACUUGCAUUCUAAAAUUAUUAUUGUCCUAAAAGUUCCUAAAAAUACGUGAAUUUGUUAUACAUUAGUACGAUUUACUCGUAACAGUUACAAGUUACAAGAAAUAUUCCUUGAAUUAUUGAAACUUAGAGCUAGGGUUGACACCAAGGUAUCUUGAGCUCUAGGUACGGUAAUCUAAGGCUGUGAACCAUUCCACCGAUUCGUUUAACUUUUAGUUAAAAUUUGACAGUUCGAUGGUUAUUUUCCCAUCGUGGUUAAAAUUUUGCUCCGAAGCCGACCCAUUUGAGUUUUGACAGAUUGAUGGUUAUUUGAAGCGAAAUGGAUUUGGCGCCAAUUUUGCUCGCGAACAAGAUUUAACUAUCGAACUGUCAAAACUAACCAUGCUCCGGAGCAGGGUUAUUUUUAACCACGGCGAAAUAACAAUCGAACUGUCAAAUUUUAACUUAAAGUUAAACGAAUCGAUGGAAUGGUUCACAGCCUAAGCAGUCACUGGGUGCGGGCAGAGGUAUUUGAGAGGGGGUUGGAAAAUGACAGCCAGCCACAUACCAAACUGGGUGGCUGGCUAGGCGUCUUGUUUAUAUUACUGCACACCUCGGUUUCCAUCGUUCUCAUCGAGGUGUUUGCGUUGAAAAGUAUGGUUGUUGUCGAACGAUGCCGACAUUUUGUGCAGUUCAAGGAUGCGGAAACAAGAUUUCAAAACAUCUAGGAGAUCCGCACAUUCAAAGUUAAUUGCCUAUAUGCCGGGUAUUAAGCCACCCGGUGUGGAAAUUAAUUACUAUGUCUGAAACUUGAUUAUGCAUAUGUACCACAUGUGAUAGAUUUAGUUCGGAAAAGGUAUUGGAGGGUAACCACCCCUUCGGUGGGGUUUGAUCCCACGACCCCAGUUCGCAUGACAGGUGCUUUCCCUACUAAGCUACGAAGGACCUCCGUCGUCCUCCGCAGGAGUGUAGGAGCCGGACAAUACUAAAUACUCAUCCUACUUGGUUGACAUGUGUACAAAAAUACAUUUGAGAGAGUAAGUUCUGAAAAUGUAUUGCGAGAGAUCGGCUGGUACCUGCUGCUGGGAAUUUGGUUUCAUCAGUACCCGCUAAGCUGCACACAUGGCACACAAGAAAUUAUGAAUCAGACACACACUUAUUGGAAAAGUUUUUGUUUACUGACUAUAUAGUUGUAGGCAUGAUAACCAAAUUUGGUCAUUUAGAUCUUUCAGCUUUAACUCGUUUUUCAUCCGAAACCAGGGUUAUUUUUGUGACACUUCUUGAUUAAUUAACUUCUCAAAACACCAAAAUCAUCUGAAUAAAUGCGCUAUUUGUCAAAAAUA